rnacentral:rRNA from 1 species
UACGUAGGGUGCUAGCGUUAUCCGGAAUUAUUGGGCGUAAAGAGCUCGUAGGUGGCCUGUCGCGUCGGCUGUGAAAACUCGGGGCUCAACUCCGAGCUUGCAGUCGAUACGGGCAGGCUAGAGUUCGGCAGGGGAGACUGGAAUUCCUGGUGUAGCGGUGAAAUGCGCAGAUAUCAGGAGGAACACCGGUGGCGAAGGCGGGUCUCUGGGCCGAUACUGACACUGAGGAGCGAAAGCGUGGGGAGCGAACAGG